rfam:Tistlia consotensis strain TSBA 355 genome assembly, contig: Ga0111602_108
AUGACCGACGCCAAGCUGCCGGACAUGCAGUCGGGCUUCGAGAAGGGCAUCACCGAGGUCAUGGCCGGCCUCGCCGGCACCAACCUGAUCUACGAGGCGG